rfam:Aedes albopictus isolate Foshan contig113554, whole genome shotgun sequence.
GGCUCCGUAGCUUGGAGGAAGGAAGCGCCCGUCUAGCGGAUUGGGAGUCGUGGGUUCGAUUCCCACCGGAGCAC